rnacentral:rRNA from 1 species
GCCUACGACCAUAUCACCCAGAAUGCGCCCGAUCUCGUCUGAUCUCGGAAGCUAAGCAGGGUCGAGCUUGGAUAGUACUUGGAUGUGGGACUGCCUGGGAAUACCAGGUGUUGUAGGCU